CUAAUCCCUUGUCGACUAUCCUCUGGGUUACGUGUGACUUUUCCACCUCUGUUACCCUGCGCGGGUCUUGAGGACUCUUGAAGACCCACUCUUCUUGAAAACUUUACUUUACAACUCUUAAAUCAAGAUCUAUGCGGGGUAUAUAUUUCAGAGUCAAAUACUGAUUAACUGCCACAUCAUCAAUUUCACGGUUAACAAUCUUUUUUAGUUUUGAAAUUUUCAAGUAAGUCACUAGAACAUCUGAAAGGAUUCUAAAAAAGGUAGAUCAUUGGCUGAAAAUGCAGAAUUGGUUCUCUUUGACAGAAAACUUGCGCUCUAAGAUGUGCUGAUAGGUGGAAGGCUGGUACAUGACUUACUUUAAGCCAGAAUUGACAAACCUUCAUGCAAAUGUACUUCUCCUUCGAUGCUUGGACGGACUAUCGACGUGCUUUUCCACAACAUUGUCGAACAUUAAUUAAUGGAGCCCAUUAAUUUUUUAAACAACAAGAGUUGUGGAAGAGCAUGGUGACAUCCUGGAUGAACUAACUUGGAGAGAAUAAACUGGAUUGUUUUAAUUGUUUCAUAGCCGCAAGAGAGAUGCUGUGUUCUUCAGCUGCAAAAUAUUAUUUUGCGUACACUGAAGUAGAGAAAUUCCAACUGAAGAGAACUUAGGUAUGAUUAGACUUUCCACAGGGGGCAGACUUAGCAAGCAAUCUGCAUAGCUAGGGAACACGGCAGCCUUGUGAUUUCGGAGCGGAGACGCCAAAACAUAAAAUUUAGAAAAAGAAUAACAACUGAAGUAGGUAGGGUAGCCUGGGGUUAAGUGGGCACGGCGGGUUAACUGAACACUCGACCUAGCUGCCACCUGGUGGGCAAACUCAAAACCAACUACGCGUCAAUUUCAUCAGUUUAUAGACCCUUACUAGUGUACCUUGCGCUGAGUUGAUAAUCUUUGUUUUUUUUGAAGUUAUGUUUACAAACGUGUUUCGUGGGCCGAAAAGUAAAUUCCCGGUGCUGUGAACUGAAGCCCAAAUGACAUAUCUAGCUUUUGAGGAAGGCUUUGAAUUUUAACAACUAAAAGGAGAAAAAGGACAACCAACCAUGGGACCUAUUCAGAAGUCAUUGAAAUAAGUUUUCCGUAUCUCUUAGUGAAAAUGUACAUAAUAUAAGUAUUAAGACAAACAAAAAAUCAUCCUCAGAUGUAUUUCUUUAAUUUUUAAGACUUUUCCCACUUGUUCAUUUGACUUAAUAAAAGUUUCCUCUUUCAAAA